rnacentral:misc_RNA from 1 species
UUGGAUUUUUUGGUUGAAUUCAAAGUAUAAUAUAAAUAAACCUGCGGUCUUACCAAAAGUCUCCCCCUGCCGCAGACACAAGAAAAUCGUCGACAAAAAAAAGAGUCACAAUAAUGAUCCCUCCGCAGGUUCACCUACGGAGA